CAGUAGCCACGGGAAUACGAAGGGUGCAAGCGUUAAUCGGAAUUACUGGGCGUAAAGCGCGCGUAGGUGGUUUGGUAAGAUGGAUGUGAAAUCCCCGGGCUCAACCUGGGAACUGCAUCCAUAACUGCCUGACUAGAGUACGGUAGAGGGUGGUGGAAUUUCCUGUGUAGCGGUGAAAUGCGUAGAUAUAGGAAGGAACACCAGUGGCGAAGGCGACCACCUGGACUGAUACUGACACUGAGGUGCGAAAGCGUGGGGAGCAAACAGGAUUAGAGACCCCAGUAGUCCCUGUCUCUUAUAC
rnacentral:rRNA from 1 species